CCUACGGGAGGCAGCAGUAGGGAAUAUUGCUCAAUGGGGGAAACCCUGAAGCAGCAACGCCGCGUGGAGGAUGAAGGUUUUCGGAUUGUAAACCCCUUUUGGCAGGGAAGAAAAUGACGGUACCUAAGGAAUAAGCACCGGCUAACCCCGUGCCAGCAGCCGCGGUAAGACGGAGGGUGCAAGCGUUACUCGGAAUCACUGGGCGUAAAGAGCGCGUAGGCGGGGUAGCAAGUCAGCGGUAAAAUUGAGAGGCUCAACCUCUGCGCGCCGUUGAAACUGGUGUUCUUGAGUGCGCGAGAAGUCUGCGGAAUGCGUGGUGUAGCGGUGAAAUGCAUAGAUAUCACGCAGAACUCCGAUUGCGAAGGCAGCAUACCGGCGCUCAACUGACGCUCAUGCACGAAAGUGUGGGUAUCGAACAGGAUUAGAUACCCUGGUAGUC
rnacentral:rRNA from 1 species